AUCCCAAAUCGAAUUUCGGAUCCUCCCCACAAGCCCACAAGCAAAAAGAUGGCGAAUAAUAUUUCAAAGGUAAAAACGCAGCGAGAAGCAGACAUUGAUGCCCCAACCGGCGAUUUCGAUCAGAUUCCAAGGCUAGAGGAAAAUCUUACAUUCAGCAGCACGUUGGUUGGGUCUUCGGAUGAUGCGAGCUCAGUUUCCGAACAACGAAAGGGUAACAGUUCUGCUUUUCAUUUUGCGGUCACAGUUGUAUAGCAUUGUAGACGACAGAACGCAGGUGGACCGAGAUUUUAGAGACUCUGAGAAGAGAGAAGGUACUACGGGUUUUCAAGUUAAAUACUGGACAAGACGAUCAUGCAAUAAUCUUUUUGGAUAACUAUCUUUGCCAGAUGGAAAAGGUUGUGAAAAGAUUCGAAGAAAAGGACGAAGAUAUUCUUGAAGUUUUUAAGUGGUUUAAGUGACACGUUAUUUAUUUGAAACUCAAACCCAGUAUUGGACAUCAAGAACUUGUGAGUGAUUGGAGUAUCUGUGUACUUCUCGGAGAAGGUUUCUUUUAAGGCAGUUUAAUGCGCUUAACAAGAUAAUGAUUGAACAAGUCGCUAUGUAGAUACAAUACAAUACAAUUACAAUCCAAAUGAAAAAUGGUUUGCGGCAGUGUAAAUUAUUAUCUCGUGGAGGAAAGGUGAAGGAUGAACACAUCUCCCUCUUAAUCAAUUCUGGCUUUCUUUGUAAGUGCGCUUUUACUUAUUCAAUAGUAUAAUAUGUUGCAGCUGUGUGAAUUCCCUCAUUGAUUAUAUGGUACAUUCUAUGGUUAUUUGGUCUGUGGUGUCGGAAACUAGUGAAAUAAUUUUACACUGAGCAUGAUUUGAUUUAUAUCUUUCCUCUUAAAGAUUUUUAUGCAGCUCCUUUUAUGGGGAAUGCUUCCCCUUAGUUCUGUUUAUUGGGUUCCUUUUGAAUUUUUUGACGGUGUCCAGUUUUUUAACUAUGAAAUCUACUUCUAGACUCGGCAACUUAUUGAUCAAAAUGUUCAUUGGUCUGUGAUUUCAAAUAUUGGUUCGGUACUAAAAGGCCUCUCUCAGGUAUAUAAUAAAAGGUUAACUUUGUAAACUUGUAGGCUGCUAGAUUAGAGACAUAGCUUUUGUUAUUCAAAAUGUUAGCUUUGAGAUUUUGAAGUACCAUGGCCAUUCGACACUUAUGGAGAUUGAGUUUUCUCUGGCAUUUUACUGCAUUUUUUUAAAGUUUGAACAGGAAAAUUGUCUAAAUUUUGAAUCACGAGAUCCUCUUUGUUCAGGGAAGAAAGGAAAUUCUUUCUCUUCUAAACCCCAGGAGAUGCAAAUAAAUGAUGAUGGCUCCUUUAGAGAAGACGGGUCUUCGAUUUUCUCCACUAAUGAGAUUUCACCUUUGUGAUCUAAUAGGCUCAGGUCAUCUCAAAACUGCCAAGAGACUGACAGGCUUAGUUGUUCAAGUCUCAAAAGAUUGAAAAACAGGAAUAGUACUAGCAGCCCCAUGGGUUCAUAAGAUUGUUGUGCUUCUCUUGGCUGUCUAUCUUAUUAUAGGUAUACCAGCGCUGCUGAAUAUACGUUCUACUAGGUACAUGACCAGAAUUUUUGCAGGCCGUCCAAUGUGGACGAACAAACAAAGUCAUCGUAUCAGCAAACCAGCCCAACCCGCAUGAGCAUGAAGGAUAGAAGAUCUGCUAGGUCUUGUAUUAUUCCUUUCAUAUCUGAUUUUUUUUUUCAGUUCUACAGCAUCCAUGUGAAUUCAUGCUUAAUUCAUUUCUUCUGAUUUGAUUAUCCAUUUUUUGUAAUACGUUGUACUUGAAAGCACAGUAGGAAAAUGAGUUACAGAAGAGUACACUCGGAGCUCCUUUUGUUGGACAUCUCGCUGCUAUCACUGGUGAAGGUUGUGGACAGAACUACCUGGUGUGCAAGUCAACAUGCUGCUAUUCGAAUUUCACCAAAACCUCAUAGUUCUUCAGAGUAUGUGGGAUGUUCGAGACAGCGGGGAGCUGUCGCGGAUGAUCUGAAAGCAGCUGGUCCGACUACAAAAUACAACAGUUGGUGGCAUGCUAGACUUCGGAGGGCUGGUGGAGAGCCUGUCCAACAAGACUUUGAGACAAAAGAAAUACAACUAGCUGAUAGCCUUCCAUAAUACUGCUUUUAAUGAAUUGAAUCUGGGCUUUUUCUCAUGAAUGUGAAUCAUAACAAAUGGACAACGACUAAUAUUAGUCGUAGGACCAAAGAAGCACCUAAAAAUUUCAAAAUCAAAUUGGGAAAAGAUUGUUUGGUACCGGAUAUGAGUCUACUUCGUUGUUAGUAAUACGAACAAUAUGUAUUAGAUACUGUAGAUUGACAUUCGAUAUUAGAAAUUUACUCUCCAAUCACAUUCAUAUUCACCA